rnacentral:rRNA from 1 species
GCGAAGGCGGUGGCGGGGGGGGGGGGAAGAGGGAGGGGGGAAGCGUGAGACGGAAGGAAGGGGCGGAAAGGGGGCGUAGGUGGGGAUGUAAGGCAGAGGGGAAAUACCGUGGCUCAACAACGGCCGGGCAUCUGAAACUGCGGUGCUAGAGGGAUAGCGGAGAAAACGGAAUUCCACGGGUAGCGGUGAAAUGCGUAGAUAUGUGGAAGAACACCUGUGGCGAAAGCGGUUUGCUAGCUUAAACCUGACACUGAGGCACGAAAGCAAGGGGAGCAAACAGGAUUAGAUGCGCCAGUAGUC